GUGGACAUAGCUCAAUAGGUAGAGUAACUAUUUGUGGCAUAGUUGGUUUUAGGUUCGAGUCCUAAUUUUCACC
rfam:Triticum urartu cultivar G1812 contig97215, whole genome shotgun sequence.